GACGAACGCUGGCGGCGUGCCUAAUACAUGCAAGUAGAACGCUGAAGGAGGAGCUUGCUUCUCUGGAUGAGUUGCGAACGGGUGAGUAACGCGUAGGUAACCUGCCUGGUAGCGGGGGAUAACUAUUGGAAACGAUAGCUAAUACCGCAUAAUAGUAGAUGUUGCAUGACAUUUGCUUAAAAGGUGCAAUUGCAUCACUACCAGAUGGACCUGCGUUGUAUUAGCUAGUUGGUGGGGUAACGGCUCACCAAGGCGACGAUACAUAGCCGACCUGAGAGGGUGAUCGGCCACUCUGGGACUGAGACACGGCCCAGACUCCUACGGGAGGCAGCAGUAGGGAAUCUUCGGCAAUGGACGGAAGUCUGACCGAGCAACGCCGCGUGAGUGAAGAAGGUUGUCGGAUCGUAAAGCUCUGUUGUAAGAGAAGAACGAGUGUGAGAGUGGAAAGUUCACACUGUGACGGUAUCUUACCAGAAAGGGACGGCUAACUACGUG
rnacentral:rRNA from 1 species